UACGAAGGGUGCAAACGUUGCUCGGAAUCAUUGGGCGUAAAGCGCACGUAGGCGGCUUCAAAAGUCGGAUGUGAAAUCCCUCGGCUCAACCGAGGACGUGCAUCCGAAACUGCGGAGCUUGAGUAUGGAAAAGGGUCGCGAAAUCCCCGGUGUAGAGGUGAAAUUCGUAGAUAUCGAGAGGAACACCAGUGACGAAGGCGGCGACCUAGGCCAAUACUGACGCUGAGGUGCGAAAGCGUAGGGAGCAAACAGG
rnacentral:rRNA from 1 species